rnacentral:tRNA from 1 species
GGAAGUAUGGCUGAGAGGUCUAAAGCAUUGGUUUGCUAAACCAACGUAUUAUUUAUAAUAAUACCAUGGGUUCAAAUCCCAUUGCUUCCG